GGUCCAGGCUUUUGAUGGGAGCGGAGGUCUCACUUCUCUAACCACAGGGAGAUCCUUGGGGUAGGACCAUGUGCACCACAAUGAUGGUCCUUACUAGCAUCGGUCUCAUUCUACGACAUAGAUUCUCCAGUAAAAUCAAUCCGCAGAUGGAGGAAGAGGUGCCAUAUGUGAAGAGCAACCAAGCAGCAGACGAUCAUAAAUGACAGUCUGCACAUGGUGGUUCAUACCAAGAUUCCAUCAAGGAGUGAAGAAACAAAAUAGUGGGAGAGAAAGAACUGACGCUGUUUUCAUCUGCCCUGCACACUCUCGCUAUUCUGCGACAAAGAAUGGAGAGAAAGGGAAUUUGGGCUGAAUUCCAGUUUGAAGAUAGCAUGUUCUGUGUUCUCUUGCCAGAUUAAGCUGCUUAGAUUUACACAGUGACCUUAAUUGUUGUUUGAUUUAGUUUUCCUUCACUGUAUGAAAGUGUUAAAAGCAAGAGCUCAAGCAAAACAUGUAGAGUAUUGUGCCUCCUUGCAAAAAAAAAUGAUACUUUAUUACUUCCUUUCUUCAAGCACAGAUGUUAAGAUGUUUUUCAUGUACUCAUGAAGAAAGCUCUGAUGCUCUUUUUAAGGAAUUAAGUGACCUAAAUUCUUGAGAAAUUGACAAAUGAAAUAUCAGCCAGUAAAAUAUCAUAAGAUUAAUUGUCCUGUUGCCUCAAAAUUUGUUUACUUUUUUUUUUUUUUUUUUUUUAAAGUACGUCUGUGGUGUGCCGUAAAGCAUCUACAUAUGUGAAGCUCAUGGCAAGGAAAGGAGUACAAACAGCGGGAAGGUCAGCUCAUAUUACCAAAGGAAUGCAGUAUAGUUGAAGAACAUUGUAGAUCAGGGGUCACCAACCCUUUUGAAACUAAGAGCUAAUACUUGGGUCAUUAAUGUGAAGAGCUACUAAUUUCAUACAUUCUGUACUUCUAUGGGCAC